UACAGAGGGUGCGAGCGUUGUUCGGAAUUACUGGGCGUAAAGCGCGCGCAGGCGGCCCUUUAAGUCCGCUGGGGAAAGACCGGGGCUCAACCCCGGUGUCAGCCAGGGAUACUGGAGGGCUGGAGACAGGUAGAGGCAAGCGGAGUUCCGGGUGUAGCGGUGGAAUGCGUAGAUAUCCGGAAGAACACCGGAGGCGAAGGCGGCUUGCUGGACCUGGUCUGACGCUGAGGCGCGAAAGCGUGGGGAGCGAACAGG
rnacentral:rRNA from 1 species